rnacentral:sRNA from 1 species
AGCAGCCGCGGUAAUUCCAGCUCCAAUAGCGUAUAUUAAAGUUGUUGCAGUUAAAAAGCUCGUAGUUGAAUUUCGGGAUCAAUGGGUUGGUCAUGCCCUCGGUAUGUACUGAUUUCAUUGGUUCUCACCUUCUAAGGAACCAUGAUGUCAUUUAUUUGAUGUUGUGGGAAAUUAGGACUGUUACCUUGAAAAAAUUAGAGUGUUUAAAGCAGGCUAACGCUUGAAUACAUUAGCAUGGAAUAAUGAAAUAGGACAUCCGAUUCUAUUUUGUUGGUUUCUAGGAUCGAUGUAAUGAUUAAUAGGGAUAGUUGGGGGCAUUAGUAUUCAAUUGUCAGAGGUGAAAUUCUUGGAUUUAUUGAAGACUAACUACUGCGAAAGCAUUUGCCAAGGAUGUUUUCAUUAAUCAAGAACGAAAGUUAGGGGAUCGAAGACGAUCAGAUACCGUCGUAGUCUUAACCAUAAACUAUGCCGACUAGGGAUCGGAUGAUGCUUAUUUUUUAAUGACUCU